rnacentral:tRNA from 1 species
CCCGAUCUGGCUCGGUACGUUCGGGCCGCGGGCGCUGGCGGUGACCGGGCAACUGGCCGACGGGUGGAUCCCGUCGCUCGGGU